UACAGAGGGUGCGAGCGUUAAUCGGAAUUACUGGGCGUAAAGCGUGCGUAGACGGUAGCGUAAGUCAGAUGUGAAAGCCCCGGGCUCAACCUGGGAAUUGCAUUUGAGACUGCUCUGCUCGGGUGCGGAAGAGGGAAGCGGAAUUUCCGGUGUAGCGGUGAAAUGCGUAGAUAUCGGGAGGAACACCAGUGGCGAAAGCGGCUUCCUGGUCCGACACCGACGUUCAGGCACGAAAGCGUGGGGAGCAAACAGG
rnacentral:rRNA from 1 species